ensembl:lncRNA
CGGCGUGCGACUCUCGGCCCUGCGUUUGGCUUCCCGUCACCUGUUGGCGUGCGCACAGAACAGGUUUAGAACGUUUCCUGUGCUUUGGCUCCAAAGAGUUUUCCUUCAAAGUAUUUUUCCUUCGAGGAGUUCUCACUGAAUGCUUUUAAGGUUUUAUUUUAGAAAACCAAAACGGAAAAUUUCUAGCGCCGUUGCCUACGUUUGAGUUCAAAGCUCCUAACAAAUACCCCCUGCGUGAGGAAAGCUGUGGUCCCAGUGGCAAUUGUCCAGGACAGACGAGGAGGGGACAACACCAACAACUGCAGCGGCACAGUGCACACGCAGACUGAUGCUCAACACAUACAAUGGGAGCUCAGAAUUCCAACCAAUUCACUCCCAGGCACAGCACUCUCUUCAGACUGACUACAUCUGCCAGAAUGCUGGUGGAUGCUGAGCAUUUCGGCAUCAAAAUCAAGGAGGCAGGAAAAGGGCUUUGCUUUGGGUGCCGCUGCUCUGCCCUUCAUCUUCUCCUGUUGCGAAGGAACACACUGCUCUGCAGCUUGCACCAAGCACAGUGUCGCACCCUCAUGCUCCUCAACAUGCUCCCUCACCGUGGGUAGCAGAAAUAUGUCCUGAAAAUGGGUCCAUCUAACAGAAGCAGCCAUGUUACGGCCACACGAGCUCAGUGUGGUGUGCAAUCAGCACUAACUUCGUGAUGAAAACAUGCCUGGGGUUUCCUGGUGAGCUCUGAGACAGUAGUGCAGACCCAUAACAUUAAGGAAUAACAGCAAUACAGCAUUAAUAUCACCCUAAGUCAUUUCCUAGAACAAACCAGUCCACAGCAAGGAUGGGUCCUCAGGCAGGGAUUUGCUCCUGGAGGAGCUCAUAUGCAGAAGAAAGACAAAGUUUGUUAUUGUUACUGCGUCCCCGCCAGAACCCUGGUAAUCCACCGCAGCACAAAGCAGAUCUCAAGGCCAGGCUGCCCUCAUUACUCUUGUAUAACCCCUCUAAAAAAAGUGAAAACAAUAAAUCAGCGGAAUUGCCAAAGCAGGAAGAUGGAUUUCAGCUGGCAGAGGUUUGAUAACACAGUUGCUAACACAGCGUAAUUCUAUUUGGGUAUGUCUGUGUAAUGGCACGUGCAGUGCUGCAGAGGACAUGGAAAGGGACUGACAUCUUUGUUGGUGCACCAGAAGGAACAGAGUAAGGAACUGCUCCCAGGCUGCAAGGAUCAAUCUAUUCAGCCGUUGGUCUUUCUUCCCCCAGUGCCUGUUUUUUGCCCUCUGCUUCUUUUUCUCACCCAGGAAUCAGAAAAACAGCAACAGCUUCUUUGCCGCUUGGAUCUUCUGCAUCACUGGGAUUUUGAGAAGCUCUGAGGAGAUGCUGGCAGGAAAUGAUCCUUCCUGAAAGGCACCGGAGGCCUGGGCUACGUGUCACACAGCCACCACCAGCACAGGAGCCAGCCGGGCCCACCUCCAGCAGCUGGAGAGAGACUUGAGAUCUCGGGAACUCUGACUCCCCACCUUGCCAGUAGUGAGCCAACAAGCCAGUAUGACAGGAUAAAAUACAAACGCAUUCUAGUCUGAUCAUUACGGUCUCCCUCUGAACUUCUAUCAGAUAACAGCUCAUAAAUACCAUCUCAGCAUUCAAACAAAAAGCCUGUCAGAGAAUAGUAGUGCCAUUAUUUUCUGAAUGAAGUUAUUUUUAAAGCAAGUGUCACAGGCUCGGUCCAUUCUAAAAGCUGCUGCUCUGCCUUCUGAAGGGCUUUGCUAUCCAAGACAAUAAACACUUGUGCUUACCCGAUCUCAAUGUAGCACUGUUGCUAAACAUCACUCCUGCUGUCUUCCUCCUCAAAGACAUAAAUUGAACUAACAGCACUGAGUCUUUAUGGCUCCACUGUAACAAAGAG